GACAACCUAAAGCACGUUCAAGCAUCAGAAAUCGACACCUUCGUCAAGGACCUGCACGCCCUUUGCAGGACCAACGCCAUCGACGCCCAAAACGGGUCCUCCAAGGUUGUGGUCAUAAGCCAAUUGCUCGAGCUCCUGACCUUGAACAUCAUAAUCAGAAUGAUCGCGAGCAAGAGAUACUUCGGACUAUUGUCAGCGUCGACGGGGUCCUCCACCGACGACGAUGAGGAGGCGAGUCACCUGAGGAAAGUGAUCAAAGAAUUCAUGUACAUCUCCGGGUUCCCCACGGUCUCAGAGCUGGUGCCCUUCACGGGAUGGACCGACUGCGUGGGGACCGUGAAGACCAUGAAGAGGGUGGCGAGAGAGAUGGAUGAGAUCGUCGGGAAAUGGGUUGAAGAGCACAAGCUGAAGAGAGAAGGUGAUCAGAGAGGGGAAGUGAUCGGUGAUGUGAAGGAGGAUUUCAUAGACGUGAUGCUGUCCGUGAUCGGGGAGGACGGUUUAGCCCAGUUUGGUCACUCUCCCGAGACACUCAUCAAGGCAACAGUAGUGGUAUGCGACUCUUGCGAUGGACCUCUUUCCAUUAUUAGCAUAAAGUAAUUGGGUUCUCCAUUUUAUUCCCUUCCCUUAGUACUUCAUUGAUGAUCCUUGACUGGAAGAAAGGAAAGGAAUCGAUAGUCCAAAGGCUCCCACCGAGCCCAUUAUUGGCCUUUUCUUGACCAAAGGGUGUUGGAAAAUAUCUUAUGGUCAAUUUUUACUUUUCAUAGCAAAAAGUUGUUGCUAUUAUGUCUGCGAUCUUUGUCAUCGGAAUUUUAAAUUAUGCCUAUUUUAACAUCUAGCUCAAAUCUUUAUUCUGUUACCACUAUACGCAAUAUGUUAACAUCCCAAACUUUUUUUUUUUAGCAAUAUCUCAAACUCGUACGAACAUGACAAAAAUACUCUUCAUCCGCCAAAAAAUCCAAACCUUGGACUCUUUAAGUUCAAGAGUAUUGGUGUUAUAGUGGGCAAAGUUUAGAAUUUUUUUGUGAUAGAUGGAGAGUAUUUUUGUGAAACUAGUAUGUUUGGUAUAUUGGUGCCUGUGUGAGAAUAUUUUAUGAUGUUUUUAUGGUAAACAAAGGAUACAUUUUGUCAUAUAGAUGCAACGUUGGGAAGUUUUAGUGACUUAAAGAAGAGUUUGAGAUAUUGAUGUCACGAUCAAUAUAAUUUAGGACUUUUGGCCAUAUGUUUCCUGAAAUCGUCUAAGCUUCUUCUUGACAAUUUUUCCAAUUGAUCCAGAAAAAGGGUAAUCGCUCAAUUUUUUUGGGUUUAUUGUUUUCAUAGAAUGAUGUAAAAGAAGAUUAGAAUUGGGCUGGAUCUAGCUCACCUUCAUAUUCAUACCCUACGCUAGCUUUGUCUUUCUAGAAUUGAUCUCUAGUCUAAACUAUAUGUACUUAUUCAUAUUCUUGGUCCUCUGUAAUUUUUUGUCUGGCCAAUUUACAUGCUGAAGAACAUUAUAGUGGCCGGAUCGGACACAACGUCUCUGAACUUGACAUGGGUCCUGUCUCUACUGCUCAACCACAAACACGUCUUGAAGAGAGCUCAAGAAGAGAUAGACCUCAAAGUGGGCAAGGACAAAUGGGUACAAGACUCUGACAUCGGGAGCUUGCAUUACCUCCAAGCCAUCGUCAAGGAAACCCUGCGCCUAUAUCCGCCAGGUACCUACAUUUUCAUGUGAUUCGCAAUGCUUGACACGACUCGAUAUUAACAUGUCAUAGUUGCCAUGCAAUUGGAAGCACCGAGGACGACAUCUAGAUGUCACGCAACAUGAUGCAUGUGUUGGAGAUGUAAUGAGAAGAAAUAUAUGAAAAUUUGAAUGAUCAUUUCUUGGUAUCAGGUCCCCUUUCGAUCCCGCAUGAAGCGAGAGCGGACUGCAAUGUGAGAGGCUAUCUCAUCCCAAAGGGCACUCGGAUAUUCGUCAACGUGUGGAAGCUGCACAGAGACCCUCAAGUCUGGUCCGACCCGGAAAAAUUCUUACCCGAACGGUUUUUGACAAAUCAUUCAGGUAUGAAGAUCUGCCCAUCAACCCUACACAUAUGAAACUCAUGAGAACAAUUUUAGGAAAUUGUUUGAAAGUAGUUUUGUAAAGCAAGGUUGGCCAUGAAUCCCAAUUUAGUCAAAAGAAAUGACCAACAAAAAAUAUGUUGAAUUUUUUUGUUUCAUUUUUUCCCUCGAAGGUGUGGAUGCUUCGGGUCAGCAUUUUGAAUUCAUUCCGUUUGGAUCGGGUCGAAGAAUAUGCCCGGGAGCCGCGUUCGCAUUGCGAGCGACCCACUUGACGUUGGCACGUCUUCUUCAAGGAUUCGACUUGGCAAUAUCAUCGGACGAACUAGUGGACAUGACCGAAGGCAUAGGGCUCAACCUACCCAAGGCCACUCCUCUUCGAGUCGUCCUCAACCCGAGGUUGCCUUCCAUGCUCUAUGAGAAAUUGACGGCGAAUUAGAAACCACUUUCGUCGGGAAGAGCAAAAAGGUUCCAUGUAUGUGAAUAAUCUCGCAUAACAAAAUAGUUACUUGAGUAGAUAAUAUGGAUUAUAUGAGUAUUAAACAACAAUCUUCUUAAUGUAGAUGCACUGAUUGUUGAAAUAAUUUGUUAUCAUAAAAGAGAUGUCCUUGGUUAAGAGAAUAUGUGACUCUUGAUUAAGAGAAGAAAUGACUUUUGAUCAAAGAAUACGUGACUCUUACUUAUGAAAAGAAGUGACUCUUCGUCCUAAAAGGAGAUUAUCGGUAUUUAUGAAAGGAAAUUAUUCUAGCCAAAAAUUGGCUCAAUGGAUCCAAUUGGUAAAAUGUAAAAAAGUUUAUGACUUAAUUGGUACAAUUAAAAGGUGUAGUUGGUAAAAAAUAUGGGUUUAAGAUUUUUUUUAGUAAAUUCCCCAUUAGUGUCUUAAUGGCUGGUCAUUGAGUGAGCAAGAGAAGUCGAGAGCUCUCAAAAGCUAUGAACUAGUUGCAAAUAUAGAUGACCUCAUAGCGCUAUGAGAAUUGUUGAAUAAUUAGAGCACUAUUAGUGUCCAACUCCUAAUGCAUAAGUCGUAUUAUUGGAAUACUUUAUGCAUAAGUCGGCUUUGAAACCUUACAUCUUGGAUGACUUUUAUAUUUAAAUAUUUUCGCGAAUGAUAGAAAUAUUUUUCAUUUAUUCAUACGAUCUUUUUUUAAGAAAAUAUUUUUCAGAUAAUUCAUAAAUAAACGAAGCUUUAGUUGAAAAAAAUCAUCUCAUUGGUCCCAACAUAACUGCAUUUACUUGUAGAAAUUGUGGUUCUCUUUGGACCAAAAUUUUCUUUUUCUGUAAUCAAUUAAGAAAAGACUUCCCUCCGGAACAAAGAUGGACCUCUCGCGCAAGACACCAUUACUGCGUUGACUAAGUCAACGGCCGACAAAACCAAUCGACAAAUAAUUAAUAUAUCGCGUAGUUACUUGUCGCUUUCCUUUAUUUGACUCUUGUGCAUCCCGUCCACUUUUCUCCCUUGUAUGUGUAAGUUAAAUCGAGGGAUAAUGCAUCAUUCAAUAAUCUAAAUUCUGCCACUAUAUUAUCAAAAAAUAAUUCUACUAAUAUAGAUGAGCUAAAUAAUGUCGAUACCCGAAACAUUCAAUUAAUUUCCCCGACUAGGUUAUAAAGUUGCGAAAAAUUUAUAUGUGAUAACUUAAAUACGAAACUAUUUACAUUCGAUGGUAUAAAAAAUCGAAAUUAUAUAGCAUGCUUAGAUUAUGUGACCGCCUUAAUCAUUUGCUCUAUUUUUAUAAACAUAUUAUAGUAUGCUGCUUCUUUUUAAGUCUUGGCGUGUGAUAGUGCUUGCUUGCCAAAAGAAAUAGUGGGAAAAAAAGAAGAAAGAAUAGAAAGCGAAGCAAAGCAAAAGGACGAAAUGAAAUUAUAUUAACCAUUCAUGUCCAACUCUGUUGUUUACCACAUACCUUCUCUCUGUCUCCGUCUCUGUCUCUCUGUCUCUCUGUAAACCACCAUGCUCUUCCUCACUCAUCUCCUAGCAGUUCUAGGGGUUGUGUUGCUCCUGCUAAUUCUAUGGAGGGCAAGAUCUUCUCCGAACAAACCCAAAGGUACUGCCUUACCCCCGGAGCUGCCGGGCGCAUGGCCGAUCAUAGGCCACAUCCACUUGCUGGGCGGCGAAACACCGCUGGCCAGGACCCUGGCCGCCAUGGCGGACAAGCAGGGCCCGAUGUUUCGGAUCCGUCUCGGAGUCCACCCGGCGACCAUCAUAAGCAGCCGUGAGGCGGUCCGGGAGUGCUUCACCACCCACGACAAGGACCUCGCUUCUCGCCCCAAAUCCAAAGCGGGAAUCCACUUGGGCUACGGGUAUGCCGGUUUUGGCUUCGUAGAAUACGGGGACUUUUGGCGCGAGAUGAGGAAGAUCACCAUGCUCGAGCUCCUAAGUACUCGAAGGUAGGGCUAUAGGAUUACAAUCUGAAUUCAGUUUUAAUUCGGUUGAAUUUGGUUUGGAAUAUGAAAGCCAAAGUCAAACUCGAAAGCUUCUCUUUUCAACUUCGAUUCGCGUAUCAAGCUUGACCCAACCGAACCCCGACCGCACUGUUCCCUCAUAAUCGAUUGAUGAAGGCUCUCUCUGUCUCUCUUGCAGGCUCGACAACCUAAAGCACGUUCAAGCAUCAGAAAUCGACACCUUCGUCAAGGACCUGCACGCCCUUUGCAGGACCAACUCCAUCGACGCCCAAAACGGGUCCUCCAAGGUGGUGGUCAUAAGCCAAUUGCUCGAGCUCCUGACCUUGAACAUCAUAAUCAGAAUGAUCGCGAGCAAGAGAUACUUCGGACUGUCGUCGGCGUCGACCGGGUCCUCCGCCGACGACGAUGAGGAGGCGAGUCACCUGAGGAGAGUGAUCAAGGAAUUCAUGUACAUCUCCGGGUUCCCCGCGGUCUCAGACCUGGUGCCCUUCACGGGAUGGACCGACUGCGUGGGGACCGUGAAGACCAUGAAGAGGGUGGCGAGAGAGCUGGAUGAGAUCGUCGGG
rnacentral:lncRNA from 1 species